rnacentral:ncRNA from 2 species
CGUAAGACGCGCGGGAGCCCGGCGGCCGGGCUGAGAGGAGAGCGGAGGCUCUCGACCGCCAGACGACCUGAUCCGGGUAAUGCCGGCGAAGGGAGCGCUGUGUCAGAUCCG